CUGUUUCCAGAGAUUUCUCCUGAGCCUGAACUUUUCUCUGAAGCCUUUUAGGAACUAGGGGACCAACUAUACACUUGAUCAGAAGAAAGAUGCUAGGUUUGCCAGCUACAAGCGCUGUGACCUUUAGCUAGCGACUGAGCCAGCCCCCGUAUGGGUCUCCUCAUCUGUAAAUGGGGUGUUGUGAGGAAUAAGCAGCUUAGGAAGUACCAAGAUCGGCCCCUGGCCCUGUGUGCUCGCCACAUAGAUGAGGUCUCGCUAGUUGCCAAGGCUGGUCUCAAACUCCUGAACUCAAGCGAUCCUCCUGCUUUGGCCUCCCAAAAUGCUGGGAUUACAGCAGACCGAUCCAUGAGCAGCUCCCUCUCAGCCUCUCAGCUCCACACGGUCAACAUGCGGGACCCUCUGAACCGAGUCCUGGUCCCACCUUCUCCCAGAGUGUGACCUCACCCUCUCUCAUGGAACUCCCUCCUGUCACUCUCCCCCCACUCUCUACAGCCAACCUGUUCCUGCUCAUCUCCUCCAUCCUGGGGUCUCGCACCGCUGGCCCCCACACCCAGUUCGUGCAGUGGUUCAUGGAGGAGUGUGUGGACUGCCUGGAGCAGGGCGGCCGUGGCAGCGUCCUGCAGUUCAUGCCCUUCACCACCGUGUCGGAACUGGU
rnacentral:sRNA from 1 species